AACGCUAUCGGGGUGGGCACUAAGCCAUGGUAAGUCGUACGCCCACACAAGCGGUGGGCGUGGCGGACGGCUGAGUAACACGUGGCUAACCUACCCUCGGGACGGGGAUAGCCCCGGGAAACUGGGGCUAAUCCCCGAUAGGUGGAGGGGCCUGGAACGGUCCUCCACCGAAAGGGUCAGGCCGCGAUGAAGGCCUGACCGCCCGAGGAUGGGGCUGCGGCCCAUCAUGGUAGUUGGCGGGGUAACGGCCCGCCAAGCCGAUAACGGGUAGGGGCCCCGAGAGCGGGAGCCCCCAGAUGGGCACUGAGACAAGGGCCCAGGCCCUACGGGGUGCACCAGGCGCGAAACCUCCGCAAUGCAGGGAAACCGUGACGGGGUCACCCCGAGUGCCCCGAAGAGGGGCUUUUCCCCGCUGUAAGUAGGCGGGGGUAAUAAGCGGGGGGCAAGUCUGGUGUCAGCWGCYGCGGUAAUACCAGCCCCGYGAGUGGUCGGRACGUUUACUGGGCCUAAAGCGCCCGUAGCCGGCCCAGUAAGUCCCCACAGAAAUCCUCGGGCUCAACCCGAGGGCCUGUGGGGAUACUGCUGGGCUAGGGGGCGGGAGAGGCCGAGGGUACUCCCGGGGUAGGGGCGAAAUCCGAUAAUCCCGGGAGGACCACCAGUGGCGAAAGCGCUCGGCAGGAACGCGCCCGACGGUGAGGGGCGAAAGCCGGGGGAGCGAACCGGAUUAGAUACCCGGGUAGUCCCGGCUGUAAACGAUGCGGGCUAGGUGUUGGGCGGGCUUUGAGCCCGCCCAGUGCCGCAGGGAAGCCGUUAAGCCCGCCGCCUGGGGAGUACGGCCGCAAGGCUGAAACUUAAAGGAAUUGGCGGGGGAGCACCACAAGGGGUGNAGGCUCSNUU
rnacentral:rRNA from 1 species